rnacentral:rRNA from 1 species
GACGAACGCUGGCGGCGUGCUUAACACAUGCAAGUCGAACGGAAAGGCCCUGCUUUUGUGGGGUGCUCGAGUGGCGAACGGGUGAGUAACACGUGAGUAACCUGCCCUUGACUUUGGGAUAACUUCAGGAAACUGGGGCUAAUACCGGAUAGGAGCUCCUGCUGCAUUGUGGGGGUUGGAAAGUUUCGGCGGUUGGGGAUGGACUCGCGGCUGACCAGCUUGUUGGUGGGGUAGUGGCUUACCAAGGCUUUGACGGGUCGCCGGCCUGGGAGGGUGACCGGCCUCAUUGGGACUGAGAGACGGCGCAGACGCCAACGGGAGGCAACGGUGGGAAAUAUGACACAAUGAGAGGGAGCCUGAUGCAGCAACGCCGCGUGCGGGAUGACGGCCUUCGGGUUGUGAACCGCAUUCGCCUGUGACGAAGCGUGAGUGACGGUAAUGGGUAAAGAAGCACCGGCUAACUACGUG